rnacentral:rRNA from 1 species
CAGUAGCCACGGGAACACGGAGGGUGCAAGCGUUAAUCGGAAUUACUGGGCGUAAAGCGCACGCAGGCGGUCUGUCAAGUCAGAUGUGAAAUCCCCGGGCUUAACCUGGGAACUGCAUUUGAAACUGGCAGGCUAGAGUCUUGUAGAGGGGGGUAGAAUUCCAGGUGUAGCGGUGAAAUGCGUAGAGAUCUGGAGGAAUACCGGUGGCGAAGGCGGCCCCUGGACAAAGACUGACGCUCAGGUGCGAAAGCGUGGGGAGCAAACAGGAUUAGAUACCCGCGUAGUCCCUGUCUCUUAUACA